rnacentral:ncRNA from 1 species
CUGCGGCUUAGUUGGACUCAACACGGUGAAAUUUACCAAGUCCAGACAUAGUAAGGAUUGACAGAUUGACAGCUCUUUCUUGAUUCUAUGGUUGGUGGUGCAUGGCCGCUGUUAGUUGGUGGAGUGAUUGGUCUGGUUAAGUCUUUCACGAAAGAGACCUUAGCCUGCUAAAUAGUUAGUAACAUCGGUUGCAUGGGCAAUUUCUUAAGGGGAUUUUGUGUGCGUGCAACGCAAGGAAGUUUGAGGCAAUCACGGGUCUGUGAUGCCGUUAGACGUCCUGGGCUGCACGCGC